GAAGGUGUGCUGUGAGGCAUGCUGGAGGUAUCAGAAGUGCGAAUGCUGACAUAAGUAACGAUAAACAAGGUGAAAAACCUUGUCGCCGGAAGACCAAGGGUUCCUGUUCAACGUUAAUCGGAGCAGGGUGAGUCGACCCCUAAGGCGAGGCCGAAAGGCGUAGUCGAUGGGAAACAGGUUAAUAUUCCUGUACUUGGUGUUACUGCGAAGGGGGGACGGAGAAGGCUAUAUCAGCCGGGCGACGGUUGUCCCGGUUUAAGCGUGUAGGUGUGUGUUCCAGGCAAAUCCGGUUCACUUUACACUGAGGCGUGACGACGAGGCACUACGGUGCUGAAGUGAUAAAUGCCCUGCUUCCAGGAAAAGCCUCUAAGCAUCAGGUAACACAAAAUCGUACCCCAAACCGACACAGGUGGUCAGGUAGAGAAUACCAAGGCGCUUGAGAGAACUCGGGUGAAGGAACUAGGCAAAAUGGUGCCGUAACUUCGGGAGAAGGCACGCUGCCACCAGGUGAAGUCACUUGCUGACGGAGCUGAAGGCAGUCGAAGAUACCAGCUGGCUGCAACUGUUUAUUAAAAACACAGCACUGUGCAAACACGAAAGUGGACGUAUACGGUGUGACGCCUGCCCGGUGCCGGAAGGUUAAUUGAUGGGGUUAAGCGCAAGCUGAAGCUCUUGAUCGAAGCCCCGGUAAACGGCGGCCGUAACUAUAACGGUCCUAAGGUAGCGAAAUUCCUUGUCGGGUAAGUUCCGACCUGCACGAAUGGCGUAAUGAUGGCCAGGCUGUCUCCACCCGAGACUCAGUGAAAUUGAAAUCGCUGUGAAGAUGCAGUGUACCCGCGGCAAGACGGAAAGACCCCGUGAACCUUUACUACAGCUUGACACUGAACACUGAGCCUUGAUGUGUAGGAUAGGUGGGAGGCUUUGAAGCGUGGACGCCAGUCUGCGUGGAGCCAUCCUUGAAAUACCACCCUUUAAUGUUUGGUGUUCUAACGUAGGCCCGU
rnacentral:rRNA from 1 species